rnacentral:lncRNA from 1 species
UGCACACCUCUCAAGAAAUUUCUCGCUGCUACCACAAGGAAAUUUUGGGUGAUGGCUGACAGUUUCUGUUUCAGCAACAAAGCUCACUUGAGUUAACGUGAAAGGGUCGUGGCCGUAAUACAGCCUACUGCCUACCGUCAACUAUUAUGUUCAAAAUCAUAGUAUUCUACUGAAUGUGCCAUCGAAAUUAUACAGGAGUCAUAAUUAUCUGCUGUUUGUAUUGGACUUGCUAGAUCACCAACCCCAGCAUAGACCAAUCUCUCAUUUCUUUUUCUCGAGAGAAGAUCUAUGACUGAUUGGUGUUUUCAUGUGUUCUAAACUCUAAAUUUAGUCAUGUCCUUUCAAUAAAGUCAACAAGGUCCCUUGUUUACUAACCUGUUGGCUGCUACCCUUGAAUCUCCCUUUUUACUUUCUUAAGCGGGCCAUCUUUAUUUAAGGGUAUUCCUUCGCUACUUGUCAUGGACUUCAUCCACUGGUGAAAACCGACGAGAGAAUGCAGUAAUCCAAGACUGAUAAAUUGUGUAGUUAGGUUCAAUUACAAGUGCAUAUCUGG